GCGCACGGGUGAGUAACACGUGAGUAAUCUACCCUCGAGUGGGGAAUAACGUCCGGAAACGGGCGCUAAUACCGCAUAACGCAGCAGCACCGUAAGGUGACAGUUGUUAAAGAUUUAUCGCUUGAGGAGGAGCUCGCGGCAGAUUAGCUAGUUGGUGGGGUAAUGGCCUACCAAGGCGACGAUCUGUAACCGGUCUUAGAGGACGGUCGGUCACACUGACACUGAAUAACGGGUCAGACUCCUACGGGAGGCAGCAGUCGGGAAUUUUGGGCAAUGGGGGAAACCCUGACCCAGCAACGCCGCGUGAAGGAUGAAGUAUUUCGGUAUGUAAACUUCGAAAGAAUAGGAAGAAUUAAUGACGGUACUAUUUAUAAGGUCCGGCUAACUACGUGCCAGCAGCCGCGGUAAUACGUAGGGACCAAGCGUUGUUCGGAUUUACUGGGCGUAAAGGGCGCGUAGGCGGCAUGGCAAGUCACUUGUGAAAUCUCCGAGCUUAACUCGGAACGGCCAAGUGAUACUGCCGCGCUAGAGUGCGGAAGGGGCAAUCGGAAUUCUUGGUGUAGCGGUGAAAUGCUUAGAUAUCAAGAGGAACACCUGAGGUGAAGACGGGUUGCUGGGCCGACACUGACGCUGAGGCGCGAAAGCCAGGGGAGCAAACGGGAUUAGAUACCCCGGUAGUCCUGGCCCUAAACGAUGAAUACUUGGUGUCUGGAGUUUACAAGCUCCGGGUGCCGUAGCUAACGUUUUAAGUAUUCCGCCUGGGGAGUACGUACGCAAGUAUGAAACUCAAAGGAAUUGACGGGGACCCGCACAAGCGGUGGAGCAUGUGGUUUAAUUCGACGCAACGCGAAGAACCUUACCUG
rnacentral:rRNA from 1 species